UUAUGGCCAUAUCAUGUUGAAACCCCAGUUCUCAUACAAUCACCGAAAUUAAACAAUAUUGAGCUUCUUUAGUACCUAGAUGGGUGACAGCUUGUGAAUACCAAGUAC